rnacentral:tRNA from 1 species
GUGGAGAUAGCUCAGUUGGUAGAGUCACGGAUUGUGAUUCCGGUUGUCGUGGGUUAGUGUCCCAUUAUCCACCCCA